UUUCCUCGACGGCGCGAUUCUCCUCUCGGGCGAAACCGCAGCCAAGGCGAGGGUUUCCUCCUCUCGACGUCGACGAGGCGUUUUCCGGCCGGUCUCCACCCGUGGGUGACCUUUCCGGCAAGGAAAGCUUGGGGAACACAAGGAAAAGGGAGAAACCGAAGCUCUACCGAAAACCUAGGGCGCUCCUCGUGUUGUAAGUCCAAGAACCACCGCGAUACAGAUAAGAGUAAAGGAAAAGCUAAAGUGUUAUAGAGGAAGGCGACAAGGAGAUGUUGGUGGUGUGUGUGUGAUGCCGGAUAUGGAAGCUUGGGACCUUACUAGAAGAGUUUAGAAAUUGUAUUUGCUGGUGUUUAUGUUACUGUUAGAGUAGAAUUUAUUUUGCAUUACUAAUUUCGUUAUCUUCCUGUCAUUUAGUUGGAAUAACUGUUAAGCUGAGAACAUGUUCCUUUUUCCUUAUUCUGGCUUAGUUUUCAAGUUUUGUGAAGUAAGAUCAUAUCUGAUUGGAGUUUGAUUUUUUUUA